UGGGGAAUCUUGGACAAUGGGGGAAACCCUGAUCCAGCGAUGCCGCGUGAGUGAAGAAGGCCUUCGGGUUGUAAAACUCUUUUACUGGUGAAGAUAAUGACGGUAACCAGAGAAUAAGUCCCGGCAAACUUCGUGCCAGCAGCCGCGGUAAUACGAAGGGGACUAGCGUUGUUCGGAAUCACUGGGCGUAAAGCGUGAGUAGGCGGUUAAGUAAGUUAGAUGUGAAAUCCUCGCUUUCAAGGUGAGAACUGCAUUUAAUACUGCUUGGCUAGAGUACAGAAGGGGAUAAUAGAAUUCCAAGUGUAGCAGUGAAAUGCGUAGAUAUUUGGAGGAAUACCAGAAGCGAAGGCGUUUAUCUGGUCUGUAACUGACGCUGAGUCACGAAAGUGUGGGGAGCAAA
rnacentral:rRNA from 1 species